rnacentral:misc_RNA from 1 species
AGCUCUUUUGCUUAAGGAUAGGAUAUAUGGAGAUUUUAGUUCAUUAAUGUAACAUCCCGUGCGGCAAGGGGAAAUAAUCUGCGACUGGAGGCGGGGCCUCGCUUGAGACCUUGAUCAAAUGGGAGGCAGUAAUGAACCGAAUCAUACAUUAAAAUGGGGAAAACUAAUCACUAGAGGUGCCUUUUGGUGGAAUAGCUUGGAGAGUUAAAAGAACUCCAGACUUAAGCAUGCUCGCUUGAGAAGGAUGGGUGACUUCUUGGAAAGUUCUCCAUUCCAC